AUGCUUACCUGGCAAGGGACACAGCAUGAUCAUGAAGGUGGUUCUCCCAGAGCGAGACUUACCCAUUGCACUCCGGAUGUGCUGACCCCUGCGACUUCCCCAAAUGUGGGAAACGCGACUGCAUCAUUUGUGGUAGUGGCAGACUGCGUUUGCGCUUUCCCCUG
ensembl:snRNA U1 U1 spliceosomal RNA